rnacentral:rRNA from 1 species
AGCUCCAAUAGCGUAUAUUAAAGUUGCUGCAGUUAAAAAGCUCGUAGUUGGAUUUGUGGCGCGGCCGUCCGGCGGGGCUCCUUCAUUGGGGCCGUUUGUCUGGUUUUUCGGCCGCCCCAUUCUCGGGUAGUGUGUCGCUGGCAUUAGGUUGUCGGCUUCUUCACGCCCGUCGUUUACUGUGAAAAAAUUAGAGUGUUCAAAGCAGGCCUAGGCCGUUGGAUACAUUAGCAUGGAAUAAUGAGAUAGGGCCACGACGGUCUAUUUUGUUGGUUUUCGGAAAUCGACGUAAUGAUUAACAGGGACAGUCGGGGGCAUUAGUAUUCAGACGACAGAGGUGAAAUUCUUGGACCGUCUGAAGACUAACUACUGCGAAAGCAUUUGCCAAGAGUGUUUUCAUUAA